rnacentral:misc_RNA from 1 species
GAUGAAGAACGUAGCGAAAUGCGAUAAGUAAUGUGAAUUGCAGAAUUCAGUGAAUCAUCGAAUCUUUGAACGCACCUUGCGCACUUUGGUAUUCCGAAGAGCAUGCCUGUUUGAGUGUCAUGAAAAUAUCAACCUUGACUUGGGUUUUGUGCUCUAGUCUCGGCUUGGAAUUGGGUGCUUGCCGCUUUUACGAGCGGCUCACCUUAAAUGUAUUAGCUGGAUCUGUCUUUGAGACUUGGUUUGACUUGGCGUAAUAAGUAUUUCGCUAAGGACAUUCUUCGGAGUGGCCUCGUUUCUAGGACGCUUGUCCGCUUUCCAAUACAAGUUCCACCUCGUGGACAUGACUUUUUAUUAUCUGGCCUCAAAUCAGGUAGGACUACCCGCUGAACUUAAGCAUAUCAAUAAGCGGAGGA